rnacentral:rRNA from 1 species
UACGUAGGGACCAAGCGUUGUUCGGAUUUACUGGGCGUAAGGGCGCGUAGGCGGCUUGACAAGUCACUUGUGAAAUCUCUGGGCUUAACCCAGAACGGCCAAGUGAAACUGUCGAGCUAGAGUGUAGAAGGGGCAAUCGGAAUUCUUGGUGUAGCGGUGAAAUGCGUAGAUAUACAAAGGAGGAACCACUGAGGUGAAGACGGGUUGCUGGUCUAACACUGACGCUGAGGCGCGAAAGCCAGGGGAGCAAACGGG